rnacentral:rRNA from 1 species
AACGAACGCUGGCGGCGGGCCUAACACAUGCAAGUCGAACGGUGCCUUCGGGCAUAGUGGCGCACGGGUGCGUAACGCGUGGGAAUAUACCCUUUGGUGCGGAAUAAUAUUUGGAAACGAAUACUAAUACCGCAUAAUGGCUCCGGCCCAAAGAUUUAUCGCCAAAGGAUUAGCCCGCGUCUGAUUAGGUAGUUGGUGGGGUAAAAGCCUACCAAGCCGACGAUCAGUAGCUGGUCUGAGAGGAUGACCAGCCACACUGGGACUGAGACACGGCCCAG